rnacentral:rRNA from 1 species
UACGAAGGGGGCUAGCGUUGUUCGGAAUCACUGGGCGUAAAGGGCGCGUAGGCGGCGCGACAAGUCAGGCGUGAAAGCCCCGGGCUCAACCCGGGAAUUGCGCUUGAUACUGUCGUGCUUGAGGCCGGGAGAGGUGAGCGGAAUUCCCAGUGUAGCGGUGAAAUGCGUAGAUAUUGGGAGGAACACCAGUGGCGAAGGCGGCUCACUGGACCGGUUCUGACGCUGAGGCGCGAAAGCGUGGGGAGCAAACGGG